rnacentral:lncRNA from 1 species
UGACAGUUCAAUGAAUCAAAGACCCUUCUUUUAAUUUUUCUGUUCAGGUUACCAUCCCCCCAAGUAUGGGAUAGUAACCUGAGGCUUAGCUCCCCAUGGUCACAAAGUGCCUGUCAUUGUGCCAAACAGCACAUUCUCAUAGAGCAUGCCCCUUUGUUGACACAUGCUUUUGUACCUUUGUGCUACAGAGGACAGAGACCCUGUUAGCCCACGAGGCCAAAAGCAUUUAGUAUCCUGUCCUUUACGGAAGAGCCUGCUGAACUAUCUUAAGCCAAAUUCCCCUCCACCAUUUCUACCUGGCUUAGCUCUGAAUAUUUUAAUUAGAAAUUAUUAAAUUUUUCAAAAAAAUCAAUUUUAAUUUUUGAAAAAUUUCCCUCAUGUCUAAGGUCCAUGACUAUGUCCGUCCAAACUUCCCAUCAUAAAUCUUGUUACAAGACUAUAUUCGUGGAUUAUUUCCCAUGUGCUAAGUGUAUUGAUUCAUUUCACAUCUGCAGCCACCUUAGGCAGGAGGGAGUGUUAUUAUCCCCAUUUUACAGGUAGAAAACGAAGGCCCAGCAAGGUGAAGGGGCAAAGCUAACAAACAGCACAACCAGGUCUUGCACCAGAAGACGUGACCUCAGUACCUGUGUUCUCACCACUGCCUCGUCCUGCCUGCCCAAUGGCGCUGUUCUUCCCCAAAGCAUCUAGGCUUCUGUGUGGUCACCUUCUUGGAGAUUAAAUGGCCAGCACAGGAAGUCAACAGCUUACCCUUCCUGGAGACACCUAACAGUAGACGUCUUCCUGUUGCUGACUCCGCCGCUACACUAGGCCUGCAGGCUGAUGGGCCAUCUCCAUAAAGAAACCCUCCUGCAUGUUUUGUGACCAGGCAGCUGGUUAUUCUAACCUGGAGCCACUCCCUCCCUCCCACCUGCUUCCACGGGUUGGGAAGAGAAGAUUCCUUACAGGGGGACAAGCUCCAAACAGGUGCGGGUGGGCUGUCUAGUGAGGACUUCACAUCAGUGUCCCCCACCUGGGUGGGCUUUCUCUUCCAAGGCACAGCCUCAUACCUAGACCCCCUUCAGAGUUAACUGUGGACAAUCAAGGGAAUGCAGGGGAGAGACUCCGGCACUCCAACCGCACGCCCAAGGUUACAAAGAAGAACGGUCGAUUUGGUUCACGAAGGACAAUAAAUCUGAUUUAUAUACAGCUUUGCAGGAGCUCACUAAUUACACAAAGCAAGAGAGACAUGAAAAAAACACCUUGUCUUGUUCUCAUAGGACUUUGGUAAGGCAGGACUGAGAGGUAAGAGGGAAUAAUAGUUGGGUCAGCCAACACUUCCUGGAUAAUUGCUUUUUCCAAGUACUGCACUAAAAGCUUUGGGGAUCUAUCUCAUUUAACCCACACUGCUGUUCCACUCUAAGACUCCAUGAUUAUUAAAGAUCAGAAAAUUGAAUUUUUGACAGAUUGCACCAGGGCCACCGCAUGCCAUCCUCCCUCUCUCAUUUAGGCAGUUGACCCAGCAACUCCUGCAGCCCGGACCUGUUCUCCCAGGCUCCCCCCACCCCAUGCACAAGGUCAUCCUCCACACUUGUUGAGAAAGAGCAAAUGCAUUCUUACCCUGUCCUACCUGCCGUUUAUUUCUUCUAUGCUCUUCCAUGAAUUUACAGUAGUCCCCCCUCUUUACCCUGGGUUUCACUUCCUGAGGUCUCAGUUACCCAAAGUCAACCAGUCUGAAAAUACUAAAUGGAAAAUUCCAGAUAAAAAAACCAGUUCAUGAUUUUUAAAUUGAGCACCAUUCAGAGUAGCACAAUGAGAUCUCACACAGCCCCACUUCUUCCCUCCUGAGACAUAAAUCAUCCCUUUGUCCAGUGUGUCCACACUGUAUGUCCUACCCUCAUAUAAUAAGUCACGUAGUAGCCAUCUUUUUAUGAGAUCAACUGUCCUAGUGUUAUGCUACUUAAGUGCAAGUAGUCUUGAUUUUAAUUCAUAAUGGUCCCAAAGUGCAAGAACAGUGAAGCUGGCAAUUUUAAGCCAGUAUGUUGGUAUAAUCGCUCUAAUUUAUUAUUAGUUAUUGUUGUUGACCUUUUAGGGCCUACUAUAUAAAUUAAACUUCAGCAUAGCUAUUUAUGUAUAAAAAAUAGUAUAAAUAUAGGUUUUGAUAGUACCAGGUUUCAGGCAUCCUCUGGAUUCUUGGAAUAUAACCUUGGAUAAGAGGGGACAACCUGAUAUCAAAUGCUAAUGAUUCGUCUGACCUAAUUCUCGG